rnacentral:rRNA from 1 species
UACGGGGGGGCAAGCGUUGUUCGGAAUUACUGGGCGUAAAGGGCGCGUAGGCGGCCAUCUAAGUCAGACGUGAAAUCCCUCGGCUCAACCGAGGAACUGCGUCUGAUACUGGAAGGCUUGAAUCCGGGAGAGGGAUGUGGAAUUCCAGGUGUAGCGGUGAAAUGCGUAGAUAUCUGGAGGAACACCGGUGGCGAAGGCGGCAUCCUGGACCGGUAUUGACGCUGAGGCGCGAAAGCUAGGGGAGCAAACGGGG